rnacentral:rRNA from 1 species
GAGUUUGAUCCUGGCUCAGGACGAACGCUGGCGGCGUGCUUAACACAUGCAAGUCGAGCGGUGAAGCCCCUUCGGGGGUGGAUCAGCGGCGAACGGGUGAGUAACACGUGGGCAACCUGCCCUCAGCACUGGGAUAACCCCGAGAAAUCGGGGCUAAUACCGGAUACGACCUCGGCGGCAUCAUCGGAGGUGGAAAGUUCCGGCGGCUGAGGAUGGGCCCGCGGCCUAUCAGCUUGUUGGUGGGGUAAUGGCCCACCAAGGCGACGACGGGUAGCCGGCCUGAGAGGGCGACCGGCCACACUGGGACUGACACACGGCCCAGACUCCUACGGGAGGCAGCAGUGGGGAAUAUUGCGCAAUGGGCGAAAGCCUGACGCAGCGACGCCGCGUGAGGGACGAAGGCCUUCGGGUUGUAAACCUCUUUCAGCAGGGACGAAGCCGCAAGGUGACUGUACCUGCAGAAGAAGCACCGGCUAACUACGUGCCAGCAGCCGCGGUAAUACGUAGGGUGCAAGCGUUGUCCGGAAUUAUUGGGCGUAAAGAGCUCGUAGGCGGUUUGUCGCGUCGGAUGUGAAAACCCAGGGCUCAACCCUGGGCCUGCACUCGAUACGGGCAGACUUGAGUUCGGCAGGGGAGACUGGAAUUCCUGGUGUAGCGGUGAAAUGCGCAGAUAUCAGGAGGAACACCGGUGGCGAAGGCGGGUCUCUGGGCCGAUACUGACGCUGAGGAGCGAAAGCGUGGGGAGCAAACAGGAUUAGAUACCCUGGUAGUCCACGCCGUAAACGUUGGGCGCUAGGUGUGGGGGACAUUCCACGUCCUCCGUGCCGCAGCUAACGCAUUAAGCGCCCCGCCUGGGGAGUACGGCCGCAAGGCUAAAACUCAAAGGAAUUGACGGGGGCCCGCACAAGCGGCGGAGCAUGUGGCUUAAUUCGACGCAACGCGAAGAACCUUACCAAGGCUUGACAUACAGGGAAAUCCGGCAGAGAUGCCGGGUCCGCAAGGGUCCUGUACAGGUGGUGCAUGGUUGUCGUCAGCUCGUGUCGUGAGAUGUUGGGUUAAGUCCCGCAACGAGCGCAACCCUCGUUCUAUGUUGCCAGCGAGUAAUGUCGGGGACUCAUAGGAGACUGCCGGGGUCAACUCGGAGGAAGGUGGGGAUGACGUCAAAUCAUCAUGCCCCUUAUGUCUUGGGCUGCACACAUGCUACAAUGGCCGGUACAAAGGGCUGCGAUACCGCAAGGUGGAGCGAAUCCCAAAAAGCCGGUCUCAGUUCGGAUUG